rnacentral:lncRNA from 1 species
CAUUUUUUGUGCAAACAAGUGGUUUCUAGUUUAGCUCUACCUUCUUCUUGGUUUGCUGCCACUUGAACGUCUUGAAGGCUUAUGGACUGAUGUUGCAUUACAACAUAAGACUAUAGACGGAUCUGCGAUAUCCAUGAGUGUCCCGUCCCCCAACAACGUGUUUGAAAAAAAAAGCAUUCAAUGGUUCUAAAUGUUUGAAACAGCCCAGGACUCCCCUGAAGAGGAGAUGGUUCAAUAAGUCAAUAACGUAUCAUACCAUACAAUAUACUAGUUCUAAAGCUCCAAUGACAACAAAAAUAUGAAGAAUUUAGCCCUAACUGUUGGUGUGGAGUUGGAGCUAAUUUGCUGCCUGUCCCUUUUGUGAUGUGUUCAAUGUCAAGAUUAGCACCUGGUGAAGUCUGAGCUUCUUCGUUACUGCCCAAUGUUCACAUGGAUAUGACAUAGGCGGCAGGUUUAUCGUUUAUGUUCGCGUAGUUACUGCCCGAUGUGUCACGUUGAUGCAGCCUAUGCUGGUGAAAAAUCUUCCUACAUCAAGUUCAAUUGGCCGUUCCUUGGUGUCGUGUUACCGAAAUUGCAUAAUUAUUUUGUUAAAUUGUCAUCGUGAUUAUGCAGUUUAUCGUUUAUAUGUUAAGAGGCAAAAAAAAAAUAUGGGAUGUUUCAAGUCAAACAAAUAAUAAACAUGUUUUUGGGGUUGGGGAAGAAAAGUAGAGGAUGUUGGAGGUGGUUUGGAAGUUUGGAAAAAAAAUCAGUUAUAUAAUCCUACAAACAUAUCCCUACCAACUAAUCUGCUAACCCCACAAACUUAUACCUUCAAAUUCUUCAAACCCCACAAACAUAAACCUACAACCUCUAAAUUUAUACCCUUAACCCUAUAAACCAAUGUUAUACCUUACCCAUGUAAUAUCUGUAAAAAAUAAAUAUAU